UCCUUCUGCCUUAACAGAAGUCUGCUAUAAUUGCAUGAUCCAGAUUUGUUUCAUGCAAUGAUGCUAGCAGAGUAUUGUGCAGACGUAGACCAUUGUUCACUGUGCUGAAAGUGAGAUUGGGUCGAACCUCUUUCUUAAUGUUCUUUGGCCUCUGUCACAAUGCUCAGUGCAACAUCU